GAUGAACGCUGGCGGCGUGCCUAAUACAUGCAAGUCGAGCGAACAGACGAGGAGCUUGCUCCUCUGAUGUUAGCGGCGGACGGGUAAGUAACACGUGGAUAACCUACCUAUAAGACUGGGAUAACUUCGGGAAACCGGAGCUAAUACCGGAUAACAUUUUGAACCGCAUGGUUCAACAGUGAAAGACGGUCUUGCUGUCACUUAUAGAUGGAUCCGCGCCGCAUUAGCUAGUUGGUAAGGUAACGGCUUACCAAGGCAACGAUGCGUAGCCGACCUGAGAGGGUGAUCGGCCACACUGGAACUGAGACACGGUCCAGACUCCUACGGGAGGCAGCAGUAGGGAAUCUUCCGCAAUGGGCGAAAGCCUGACGGAGCAACGCCGCGUGAGUGAAGAAGGUCUUCGGAUCGUAAAACUCUGUUAUUAGGGAAGAACAAAUGUGUAAGUAACUAUGCACGUCUUGACGGUACCUAAUCAGAAAGCCACGGCUAACUACGUG
rnacentral:rRNA from 1 species